GGGUGAGAGCUCACCGGAGUAUUUCUCAGGUAGUUUGAGUUUGGACCAGAUACGUUGGCAUUUUAAAAUGUUUUGAUUGGUUGAAUUCAAACUUGAUCCCGUGUCCUGAUUGCAGUGUGCUCCAUCGUGUUUCUCAUACUUUGGAGUGUUGGGUCUGCCAUGUCAAUUAAUGAGGCGCGAUCCAACGCCCCUGGUUUUUUCUGAUUUUAAUUCUUUUUAUUUUAUUAUUUUAAAUUGCUUUUUCUUUAAAAAUUCGUAGUAAUUUCAU
rnacentral:lncRNA from 1 species